AGAGUUUGAUCAUGGCUCAGGAUUAAUGCUGGUGGUAUGCAUAACACAUGCAAGUCGAACGAGUAGAACUUGUUCUGCUAGUGGCAAACGGGCGAGUAAUACAUAUUUAACUUACUUUUACGAGGAGGAUAGCAGUUCGAAAGGACUAUUAAUACUCCAUAGGUUUAUAAACUAAAUCAAAGAGGCUCCCUCGGGGGCCUCGCGUGUAAAUAGGAAUAUGUCCUAUUAGGUAGUUGGCGGGGUAAAGGCCCACCAAGCCAGUGAUGGGUAGCUGGACUGAGAGGUUGAACAGCCGCAAUGGGAUUGAGAUAUGGCCCAUAUUCCUACGGGAAGCAGCAGUGAGGAAUUUUUCACAAUGGACGAAAGUCUGAUGGAGCAAUACCACGUGAACGAUGAAGGUCUUCUGAUUGUAAAGUUCUUUUAUUUAGGAAAAAAAGCGCGCUAGGAAAUGAGCGCGCCUUGAUGGUACUAAUUGAAUAAGUGACAGCUAACUAUGUGCCUGCAGCUGCGGUAAAACAUAGGUCACGAGCAUUAUCCGGAUUUAUUGGGCGUAAAGGAAGCGUAGGUGGGGAGGUUGAUCCAUUGUUAAAGGCAUUUGCUUAACAAAUGUGUGCGAUGGAGAUCGCCUCCCUAGAGUUAAUCAGGGGGUACUGGAAUUCAAUGUGUAGCGGUGGAAUGCGUAGAUAUAUUGAGGAACACCAGAGGCUAAGGCGAGUGCCUAGGAUAUAACUGACACU
rnacentral:rRNA from 1 species